ensembl:lncRNA
CCCCUUCCCAGCCCUCAUUUAAGGGUUGGCAGUGGAGGUGAGGACAUCUUUUGCUGGAGAUCUCUGCCUACCUGAGGCCUUCCAAAGGACAUAUGCCUGCACAACCGUUUCACUGCCAGGCUCUUCAAAAGCACAAGCAGAGUAAGAGAGGUUGGAUCCUUCUGGUGGCAAUUCAGUACGUCUUUCAAUGGCCCAGCCACAACCAGGUCACUCUUGUGCUAUUCAGCCCCAGUUCCCCUCUAUCCCAGGCAUGUCCUCACCAUCUGCUGUACAGAAAUCCCUCUGCACGUCCCUUUCCAGGAGAUGUAUGGGAUCAUGUGUGCCCAUGUUGGUGUGAUUUGCCAUAGGUCUGUACCUGGAACAGCC